rnacentral:rRNA from 1 species
USCCAACCCGCGAGGGGGAGAUAAUCCCAGAAACCCGGUMGUAGUCCGGAUMGUAGUCUGCAACUCGACUGCGUGAAGUCGGAAUCGCUAGUAAUCGCGGAUCAGCUUGCCGCGGUGAAUACGUUCCCGGGUCUUGUACACACCGCCCGUCACACCAUGGGAGCGGGUUCUGCCAGAAGUAGUUAGCCUAACCGCAAGGAGGGCGAUUACCACGGCAGGGUUCGUGACUGGGGUGAAGUCGUAACAAGGUAGCC